rnacentral:rRNA from 1 species
UACGGAGGGAGCUAGCGUUAUUCGGAAUUACUGGGCGUAAAGCGCACGUAGGCGGCUUUGUAAGUAAGAGGUGAAAGCCUGGAGCUCAACUCCAGAACUGCCUUUUAGACUGCAUCGCUUGAAUCCAGGAGAGGUGAGUGGAAUUCCGAGUGUAGAGGUGAAAUUCGUAGAUAUUCGGAAGAACACCAGUGGCGAAGGCGGCUCACUGGACCGACACUGACGCUGAGGCGCGAAAGCGUGGGUAGCAAACAGG